UUGGAGGGCAAGUCUGGUGCCAGCAGCCGCGGUAAUUCCAGCUCCAAUAGCGUAUAUUAAAGUUGUUGCAGUUAAAAAGUUCGUAGUUGAAUUUCGGGUUAGUAGGCUGGUUAUAUGGAACUCGCGCUCUGCAGGUUUAUGUAACUGGUCUUACUAAUUCCUCCUUCCUGAUGAACUGUAGUGCCAUUAAUUUGGUGUUGCAGGGAAUCUGGACUGUUACUUUGAAAAAAUUAGAGUGUUUAAAGCAGGCUAACGCUUGAAUACAUUAGCAUGGAAUAAUGAAAUAGGACGUUCGAUCCUAUUGUUGGUUUCUAGGAUUGACGUAAUGAUUAAUAGGGAUAGUUGGG
rnacentral:rRNA from 1 species